rnacentral:tRNA from 1 species
CGCUACUUGUGGUAGUAAGUGGACUCAAACCCCUGUAAACGAGGCUACAACUCGUCGCCUGUUACUCGGCCAUCCUACC